CCCUUAGAUGUUCUGGGCCGCACGCGCGCUACACUGUUCGACGCAGCGAGUCUUAACCUUGACCGAAAGGUUUGGGUAAUCUUCAGCAAAGUCGAACGUGAUGGGGAUCGAUCAUUGCAAUUGUUGAUCGUGAACGAGGAAUUCCUAGUAAGUGCAAGUCAUCAGCUUGCGCUGAUUACGUCCCUGCCCUUUGUACACACCGCCCGUCGCUACUACCGAUUGAAUGGUUUAGUGAGAUCUCUGGAUUGACGCUGGCUAGGGGGCGACCCUUGGCCAGACUGUUGAGAAACUGCUCAAACUUGAUCAUUUAGAGGAAGUAAAAGUCGUAACA
rnacentral:rRNA from 1 species